GAAUGAGACAACUCUACCCAAAGGACUGGCCAUGAACAAGGCACACUGGAGCAACAAAAGCUACUGCUCACAAGAAUGGAGCAACUUCCCUACAAGAUCUAUAACCAAGGACUUUUGGAGAAGCUAAGGCAUCUAAAAGCAAUGGACACCCUUCAAAAGCAUGUACAUAAUCAAAUACAGAUCAAGCUGUGC